AAUGCAGAUGCCGAAAAGCUAUAAUAGAGUAGGCA
ncrna:unclassified sequences DTF805b RNA